rnacentral:misc_RNA from 1 species
GUGAAUCAUCGAAUCUUUGAACGCACCUUGCGCUCCUUGGUAUUCCGAGGAGCAUGCCUGUUUGAGUGUCAUUAAAUUCUCAACUACUCAGUGUUGCUACAACUCUGUGUGGCUUGGACCUUGGGACCUGCUGGCCUCGUCAAGAGUGUUAGCUGUCCUCAAAUGCAUUAGUAGAGCUUUUGCUGCCUGCUUCUUUGAUGUGAUAAUUAUCUACGUCAAUAAGAGGUGGCAUUGUUUGGGCUUUGCUUCAAACCGUCUCGCAAGGGACUUUCUUUGACAAUCUGACCUCAAAUCAGGUAGGACUACCCGCUGAACUUAAGCAUAUCAAUAAGCGGAGGA